CCCUGGUUAGGUAAUCUGGUAGAGCGCUCCACCUGUAAUGGAGAGGUCCCGGGUUCGAUACCCGGACCAGGCG
rnacentral:tRNA from 1 species